GGGGCCAUGGCGCAGCGGGAGCGCGCUUCCUUGGCAUGGAAGAGGACGGGGGUUCAAUUCCCCCUGGCUCCACCA
rnacentral:tRNA from 1 species